rnacentral:tRNA from 1 species
GGGCGAAUGGCGAAACUGGUAGACGCGCCACCUUGAGGUGGUGGUGCCCGCAAGGGUUUGGAGGUUCGAGUCCUCUUUCGCCCACCA